UGGGGAAUUUUGGACAAUGGGGGAAACCCUGAUCCAGCCAUCCCGCGUGUGCGAUGAAGGCCUUCGGGUUGUAAAGCACUUUUGGCAGGAAAGAAACGUCAUGGGUUAAUACCCCGUGAAACUGACGGUAUCUGCAGAAUAAGCACCGGCUAACUACGUGCCAGCAGCCGCGGCAAUACGUAGGGUGCAAGCGUUAAUCGGAAUUACUGGGCGUAAAGCGUGCGCAGGCGGUUCGGAAAGAAAGAUGUGAAAUCCCAGAGCUCAACGUUGGAACUGCAUUUUUAACUUUCGGUCUAGAGUGUGUCAGAGUGAGUUGGAAUUCCGCGUGUAGCAGUGACAUUCGUAGAUAUACGGAGGAACACCGAUGGCGAAGGCAGCCUCCUGGGAUAACACUGUCGCUCAUGCACGAAAGCGUGGGGAGCAAACAGG
rnacentral:rRNA from 1 species